rnacentral:rRNA from 1 species
GCCUAACACAUGCAAGUCGAGGGGCAGCGCAAAGAUAGUUUACUAUUUUGGCGGCGACCGGCGCACGGGUGAGUAACGCGUAUGCAACCUACCUUAUACAGGAGUAUAGCCCGAAGAAAUUCGGAUUAAUCCUCCAUAGUAUUCUUUAAUGGCAUCAUUUGAAGAAUUAAAGCUUCGGCGGUAUAAGAUGGGCAUGCGUCCUAUUAGCUAGAUGGUAAGGUAACGGCUUACCAUGGCUACGAUAGGUAGGGGGCCUGAGAGGGUGAUCCCCCACACUGGUACUGAGACACGGACCAGACUCCUACGGGAGGCAGCAGUGAGGAAUAUUGGGCAAUGGGCGCAAGCCUGACCCAGCCAUGCCGCGUGCAGGAAGAAUGCCCUAUGGGUUGUAAACUGCUUUUAUUUAGGAAUAAACCCCUUUACGUGUAGAGGGCUGAAUGUACUAAA